rnacentral:rRNA from 1 species
UACGUAGGGGGCAAGCGUUGUCCGGAAUUAUUGGGCGUAAAGAGCGCGUAGGCGGUCCGAUAAGUCGGCUGUGAAAGUCCAGGGCUCAACCCUGGAAAGCCGGCCGAUACUGUCGGACUAGAGUCCGGAAGAGGCAAGUGGAAUUCCCGGUGUAGCGGUGAAAUGCGCAGAUAUCGGGAGGAACAUCAGUGGCGAAGGCGGCCUUCUGGACCAGUACUGACGCUGAGGCACGAAAGCGUGGGGAGCAAACAGG